UCAAUGAGGGAUCAAGUCGUUCAA
rnacentral:siRNA from 1 species